rnacentral:rRNA from 1 species
GAGUUUGAUCCUGGCUCAGAGCGAACGCUGGCGGCAGGCUUAACACAUGCAAGUCGAGCGGGCGUAGCAAUACGUCAGCGGCAGACGGGUGAGUAACGCGUGGGAACGUACCUUUUGGUUCGGAACAACACAGGGAAACUUGUGCUAAUACCGGAUAAGCCCUUACGGGGAAAGAUUUAUCGCCGAAAGAUCGGCCCGCGUCUGAUUAGCUAGUUGGUGAGGUAACGGCUCACCAAGGCGACGAUCAGUAGCUGGUCUGAGAGGAUGAUCAGCCACAUUGGGACUGAGACACGGCCCAAACUCCUACGGGAGGCAGCAGUGGGGAAUAUUGGACAAUGGGCGCAAGCCUGAUCCAGCCAUGCCGCGUGAGUGAUGAAGGCCCUAGGGUUGUAAAGCUCUUUUGUGCGGGAAGAUAAUGACGGUACCGCAAGAAUAAGCCCCGGCUAACUUCGUGCCAGCAGCCGCCGCGGU